CAGAUUCAUCUUCAGCAUCUGCUCCCAACACUAGGACCUGCCAGCAGACUUCCCACUUGUGUCCUAGGCCCGGGGUCCCCGGAGUCACACUGAGCUCCUCCAAAGCUGGGACAACUAUCUUGUCUUCAGCCCCACAGGGACUCUGGUCCUCAAUCAGGCAGCGCCCGCCCCCCGGCAGAAUCGUCUAUUGCUCAUGCUGGCCCUGACUUUUGAGGAAGACAUCCAGAACUUUCCUUCGCCUAGAAUCUCCUCCCUCUUCUCCAAGCCCAGGGUCCUUGCCCUGAGUGGUUGCGGUCAGAAUCCAAGCCUUGUGGGCACAUCACACCAGGACUGGAUGGACUUUUUAAAGAUUUUAUUUAUAUAUUUGAGAGAAAGCACGAGCAGAGCAGAGGGAUAAGCAGACUGCCCACUGAGCAGGUAGCCGGAUUCGGGCUCCAUCCCAGGAUCCCAGGAUCAUGACCUGAGCUGAAAGCAGACGCAUAACUAACUGAGCCACCGAGGUGUCCCUCCUUCAAGCUCUUUGCAGUGAACCUGCUCCCGGCAAACAGAACUGUCUAGUGCUAACACUGCCCUUUGCAGCAAAGAUAUUGUGCAAUGAUUCUUCAAUGCUAUCUCAUUACUAUGCUGCACAAAGGCUUGUCUGCACCGCGGCUGGGAGGAACUGCUAGGAGUUGGGGUAGAGAAGGGGGUGAAGGUGCUGAUGGUGGCAAGGAGCACCCCUACCCGACCCCCGCCGCUGGCCCACGGGGGACCUGGACCUAGCAGGUGUUCAGUGAGUGUAUCUUUUCCCCCAGCUUUGGGAUCAUCCCUUGAAUUUUCAAACCAGCCCCAAGGGGAAUAAAGGCUCCUCCCUGACAGGAAAGUCACCCAGCGCCCCACUUGUCAAGGAACAAAGAAGCCAGGACAGACUCCUUUGAAACUCCAGAUCAAGGUCACUCCAGACAGCCCCCUGCCUCUAGGCCACAGCAGGGCCUGGUCAGCUGGGAGGUCCAGCAGGUUCCUCGGGCCCUUUCUGGAUGUACCCCACUCCAGGCUGCGGGUUCCUGGCUUUCCCUAUUACUUUAGGGCUUCCUGCCCCUUACCCAGGGGCCAAGCUCUGUUCAUCGAGAAGAUCUGCGAGCAGCAACACACCAGUUGCAACAAGCACAUCCAGCACCGAGAUCUUAUUUUCAAGAUCUCACCCUCCCCCCCCCAGACAGAUAUCAAGCUCUAUGGAGGAAAAGCAGGUUCCCGGGAGGGGCCAGAGAAAGCACGAGACGAGCCCGAGGUCACCCAGGGAAGGAGUGCCCAGAGAUCGAAGGGACACAAGAGCCGGCAGGGGCUUCUUCUGGCCAAACCUGGGGUAAUUCAAAUAUCCAAAUAAAUGAGCCAUCAGAGAAAAGAGGAAUCGGUGGGUCCCCAGGGCUGUGAACAAAUAAAUGAAUAAAUGAGCAGAAGACAAUGCGUUUCCCUACUUCCCUGCGAAGUAAUAAGGGAAGAAAAAAAUCACCUCUUGGUAACGGGGAUGAGGAGGAUGAUUUCAGGUAGGCGACAUCGAGGGAUGCUUCAACUAGGGCCAUAAGUGAUACAGGGAGUGGAGUUUUCACGUAGUGUUGGAGUAUCUCCCCCCAGAAACUCUGUUCGGACAACAGUAACACAAGACCUUGACGAUGGAGAAAAGUGAGUUGUUCGAAGUUAACACCACCCGUGAGGACGAGCUGACAUUGAGUGGCACCGGAAAGGGGCAGGGAGAGAUCACAGCGUCUCUCCUGUGAUGUCCUCGCCCCCAACAUGCACGGUCCUGGCAUAAUUACCAGGAAACACAGAUAAACCCAAAUCGAGCACCGUUCUACCAAGGGACUGCCCCGUUCUCUCUAAAACAUCAAGAGUGUGAAGUUCAAGGCAGGACGGAGCAACUGGAGAGGAAGGACGCGGGAUGCUGGGCUGGGCCACUUUCCAUCGGUGCCAUUGUGGCAGCAACAGGUGAAACGUGGAUGGGGUGUCUGGUUGCAGGGCGAAUGGAGUUCUUCACACCGUUCCUGCAUAUUUCUGCAAUUCGACGUGUCUUAAAAUUGUUUUUUAAUCCCAUGCAGCAUAACUUUGUGAAAAUGUUGAAGGAGACUGCUGUUGUGUAUUUCUAAGAAAAAGAGGAAGCUGAGGGUUGUCUGAUGACCUCAUCUCCUGGCAUAGGGCUUGGGGUUAAUCAGGUGACACGGACUACAAGUGAGCAAAAAAAAAAAAAAAAAAAAAAAAAGAUGAAAAAUCCCAGGAGAAACAGAAACACAUACAAGAAAGCAAAUGUAGGGGCGCCUGGGUGGCUCGGUUGUUACGCGUCUGCCUUCAGCUCAGGUCAUGAUCUCAGCCCCAUGCGGGGCUCCCUACUCGUGCGCUCUCUUGCUCUCUCUCUCUCUCUCUCUCAAUAUAUAUAUCUUUAAAAAUAUGUAGUAAAAAAAAAAAAAAAGAAAGUAAAUGUAAUCAUAGGACUCCACGUGCCUGGGCUGUCAACAUUUAGGUUGUCACAUGAUAAACCCUGAAUAUUUACCUAACCCAAAAUUAUGAUAUGACCAUCUAAGGAAGAUGCUACCAGGAAAAAAAACAUGGAGGGGAGAUUGCACAGGAAGGAAACUCUUCUUUUCCAAGGUAAGAAGGCAGGAGAUUAAAUCUAAAACUGAAAAUCAAGAAAUAAAAGGGAGUGGGGCGCAUGGCUGGCUCAGUCAGCAGAGCGUGCAACUUUGUUUGAUCUCAGGGACAUGAGUUUGAGCCCCACUUUGGGCGUAGAGUUUUCUUAAACAAACAAACAAACAGAAAGUAUAUUAAAAAAAAAAGAAAGAAAGAAAGAAAAGGAAAGGGAAAGAACUCAUUAUUAUGAUUUUUAUCCUGCCUUUUUAAAGAUGAUUGUAUAUGUUAUGUAUUAAAUCCAUUUCUAUAUACAUUGGUAUUUUAUAUAUUUUAUUCA